rnacentral:rRNA from 1 species
AGAUUGAACGCUGGCGGCAGGCCUAACACAUGCAAGUCGAGCGGCAGCACGGGUACUUGUACCUGGUGGCGAGCGGCGGACGGGUGAGUAAUGCCUAGGAAUCUGCCUGAUAGUGGGGGAUAACGCUCGGAAACGGACGCUAAUACCGCAUACGUCCUACGGGAGAAAGCAGGGGACCUUCGGGCCUUGCGCUAUCAGAUGAGCCUAGGUCGGAUUAGCUAGUUGGUGGGUAAUGGCUCACCAAGGCGACGAUCCGUAACUGGUCUGAGAGGAUGAUCAGUCACACUGGGAACUGAGACACGGCCCAGACUCCUACGGGAGGCAGCAGUGGGGAAUAUUGGACAAUGGGCGAAAGCCUGAUCCAGCCAUGCCGCGUGUGUGAAGAAGGUCUUCGGAUUGUAAAGCACUUUAAGUUGGAGGAAGGCAGUUACCUAAUACGUAUCCGUUUUGACGUUACCGACAGAAUAAGCAACCGGCUAACUCUGUGCCAGCA